rnacentral:lncRNA from 1 species
AUCAAGUUGUCUAAAUCACCUCUUUAUUGAAUUCAUGCCAAAUAGUCUUCAUUACAUAGGAUGCCGAACGGCUGAAGCUUAACACUUGUACAAUGUGAGUUUACUUGUAAUAGUACUUUAAGUGAUCAGCGUUCCAUGGAUGGCCAAAAGGUCUUGCCAUCGGAGCUUCUAAGCUUGUAGGAGCCAGGGCGACUGAUGCCAACUUCAAACGGUCCAUCCCAGUUUGGACUAAGUGUUCCUUCACUCGGGACUCUGUCGCAGAGUAAUCUUUUCUUCUAUACCUAGUCCCCCACUUUGAAAGAACAAGGUUUGACCCUUGAGUCAUAGUAGUUGGAGAUGCGCUGCUUGUAGACGACAUUCCUCAAGUGAGCCUGGUUUCUGUGUUCCUCGACUAGAUCUAAGUUGAGGGUAAAUUAUUUGUCAUUUUCGCUUUGCACGUAGUUCUGGACUCAGAACGUUGCUUGUUCAAGCUCAACUGGG